GUGGCAAGCGAGGUAUGCGGCGUAAAAAAAUGGUCAAAGUGGAUGGAGGAAGGAAACAGUAUUUGACUAUUUGUGAUUAGAUUUUCUUCAGUUUAAUGUAUUUACUAUUUACCUUUAAAUUGAAGCAUUACCAAUUAACUGUCACAGUCAUGCAACCUAAUCAUGAACCUACUUUCCUUAUUUGAAAAAUUCUAGGAUGGACCAAAUGACUAGGUUGUCCACCGGUGCACCGAAAAUUAUCAGCUGUUGGAUUUGAAUUUAAGAAACAUGGACCGUCUAGAUCAAACCAAGAUCUAACUUUUCCGGCGACACCGUGGCUUCGCCGUCGUGUCGCGUAUGAUCCAAACCAAUAGUUGCCUUUGCGAUUGACAACGCCAUCGCCAAACUCUUCGUCGACAGAGCAACAAAGGCCUUCGUGCAGUUUUGUUUACUAUGCAUGUAGAAGGAGCUUCUAGAUCGGAUCCAGAAGCAUACGUUUCCUGGGUGUUCAUUUUGUGUUUGUGUGCUUCGGUUGUUGGUGAAGAAAGGAGAAGGGGAAAGAGGGGAUGCUAAAGACUAAUGCGUCGUUUAUUUUAUCAAUUGCUGCUGUGUAAAUUACUUUUUGCAUCAGAGUUGGUUUCUUAAUCUAUUGGAAUUUGAGAUUAAUGAGAGCGGUGGAGUUUUCUUCAUGUUGCUGAAUCAGAUGGAGUUGUAAUUUGUAAAGGCACAAAGAUCUCAACUUGAUUCAUGUAGGGUACAAUGGUUUUUCUCUAUGAAAUGAGUUUUUUUUUUUUUCUUGAUUCA